UACGGGGGGGGUAAGCGUUGUUCGGAAUUACUGGGCGUAAAGGGCUCGUAGGCGGCCAACUAAGUCAGACGUGAAAUCCCUCAGCUUAACUGGGGAACUGCGUCUGAUACUGGAUGGCUUGGAUUCGGGAGAGGAAUGCGGAAUUCCAGGUGUAGCGGUGAAAUGCGUAGAUAUCUGGAGGAACACCGGAGGCGAAGGCGGCAGCCUGGACAAACACUGACACUGAGGAGCGAAAGCGAGGGGAGCAAACGGG
rnacentral:rRNA from 1 species